UACAGAGGGGGCAAGCGUUGUUCGGAAUUACUGGGCGUAAAGGGCGCGUAGGCGGCCUGUUAAGUCGAACGUGAAAUCCCCGGGCUCAACCCGGGAACUGCGUCCGAUACUGGCAGGCUUGAAUCCGGGAGAGGGAUGCGGAAUUCCAGGUGUAGCGGUGAAAUGCGUAGAUAUUCGGAAGAACACCAGUGGCGAAGGCGACUUACUGGACACAUAUUGACGCUGAGGUGCGAAAGCGUGGGGAGCAAACAGG
rnacentral:rRNA from 1 species